CACGGGCACAUGGCUAGACGGACGAGUCCAUGUGAGACAGACUGACUGACUGCUGCAGUCAUCUACUACUGGGGCAAUAACAACAGACCCACUGGCACCCAGUAACACAGAGACUGUUAUCCGAGUCCAGUGUGCAACCAUGUGACCCAGUUCAUCGGCUCCUCCCUCCCUGCAGCUCUGCACUGGUGUCAAUGUAACCCACUGACAUACUUUCACCAGUCAACGUGAACAAAGACAGUUGGGGAGUACAUCCGCUGGCCACAAAAAACUCUAGUUGCAGUAGAAUUAUAGAACUUAUCA